UAAAUUUCAACAAUAUCUCUCGUUUCGAAUGGAUAUGAAUUUAUACCGUAUACGAUAAAGCGUUACACUGUUUUUUUAGAACUGCAUUCGCUGUAAAAAAACCUAGUGCGGUAAUACCAAACAACCAAAGUAAAAAAGUUUCCACACGCAGUGGAAUGAAAUUGGUUUCAUAUAUAGGUAGUGCAAGUUGAAAGUUAAGGUGAAGGGUGAUUACAGUAGAAAGAAAAAACGAAGGAAUCUUGUUUAUAGUCGUCUCCGUAGAUAUUCAGAAUAAAGAAAGUAAAAUAAACAACGCCACAGUUUACUGGCGGACUCAAGACUAGAUGAAAAUGAACAUGGUAACUAACAAAACUUCCCCUAAAACUAUAAGAGUAAGAUACUGAUGUUACUGCUAAACAACAAAAUCUUCCUGAAGUGGCGAUAGCGUUUCUAAACAAAGCUCCGCCUUCAGAAAGCUUUUCUUGUAAUCUCUCAAUAAUCUCUUAUGGAAAUUAUAGAGUUUAUUAUUUUCGAUCGGAUAUAGUAUUUGUAUAUUGUUGAGUACGUUUUAAAAAUAAAAAGGGAUUAAUAGGUAAUAAUUCGAACCGUUUAUAUGCAAAAAUUUGAUUAUACGGUUUAAUUGUGAACAAUUUCGUAUUCAACCAUCUGCAAGGAUAAACUUUGAUUACAAUUAAUCUGCUGUAAGUAUUAAAUUUGUUAUGAUCAAAGCUUAAAAGUUUUAAACAUUUUAUUAAUUCCCAUGAACAUAAGACAAAAAAGUUUUUCUAUCCGCUAUAAACAAAGGAAAACCCAGAAAAAAAUUUCCACGGACAUGAUAUGCGAGACAUGCUCUUAAUUUGAUCGACCCUCUGCUGACUUUUAUAAUACUUCAGAACAGCACGAUUUGCGUGUUUGUGUCAUUCCACAAAUUCUCGAAAAACUCAUAUUGUAAAAUAACAUACCGGGACUUGUGGCACAAUAUGAAGGGAUCGUCUACAGUUUCUAAGAUAUAAAGCCGCGGUAAUCUUUUAAAUGCGUAUAAGUUCCGAAACCCACAAGAACAUAUUGUUAUACGUCUUGCUAUUACAUUGAUUGAUUCACGAAUGGUUUCUAUUUCAGCCACCAGCAUCAUACAGGCUGACAAAACGAAACUCAGUUUUCUAAAAAAAAUAUCCAACAAAGGCAAAUUAAAUUCAAAGUUAAUGUUCACUUACUGCUUAAGGGCAUGUCGCAAAUCAAAUUCAACUAAAGCAAACCCAUCAAAAACAAGAAAGUACAUGCUUGCAGCAAUCUGUGCUACUGAUCGAUUUGUUUUCAACUGUCAAUAUGUUGUUCGUUUUUUUAAUACCGCCAUACCACAAGUAGUGUACCUAAUAAUUUGUUGGCUGUUAUAGGUUGCAGGUUAGCCGAUUGAAGAAAAAAAAGUA